rnacentral:rRNA from 1 species
CGGACGGGUGAGUAACGCGUGAGUAACCUGCCUUGGAGUGGGGAAUAACACAUCGAAAGAUGUGCUAAUACCGCAUAAGCGCACAGAGCCGCAUGGCUCGGUGUGAAAAACUCCGGUGGUGCAAGAUGGACCCGCGUCUGAUUAGCUGGUUGGCGGGGUAACGGCCCACCAAGGCGACGAUCAGUAGCCGGCCUGAGAGGGUGAACGGCCACAUUGGGACUGAGACACGGCCCAAACUCCUACGGGAGGCAGCAG